rnacentral:rRNA from 1 species
AGUGAACGCUGGCGGCAGGCCUAAUACAUGCAAGUCGAACGGCAGCACAGUAAGCGCUUGCUCUUACGGGUGGCGAGUGGCGGACGGGUGAGGCAUACAUCGGAAUCUACUUUUUCGUGGGUGACAACGUAGGGAAACUUACGCUAAUACCGCAUACGACCUACGGGAGAAAUCAGGGGAUCUUCGCACUUUGCGCGAUUGAAUUAGCCGAUGUCGGAUUAGCUAGUUGGCGGGGUAAAGGCCCACCAAGGCGACGAUCCGUAGCUGGCCUGAGAGGAUGAUCAGCCACACUGGAACUGAGACACGGUCCAGACUCCUACGGGAGGCAGCAGUGGGGAAUAUUGGGCAAUGGGCGAAAGCCUGAUCGAGCCAUACCGCGUGGGUGAAGAAGGCCUUCGGGUUGUAAAGCCCUUUUGUUGGGAAAGAAAAGCAGCAGGUUAAUACCCCGCUGUUCUGACGGUACCCAAAGAAUAAGCACCGGCUAACUUCGUG